UACAAUAGAAUCGGCUCCUCAAGGGUGGUCCGGCUCAUCCCCGGAAAGAAAGGGGGUGAGGCUGAUGACAGUAUUUGAAAGUCUAUCGCUCAUGAUAGCUUUUGGUGCAUUAAUCGCAUUGCUGUCACAAGACAAAAAGAAAUAGACCUUCCUUGAGUCCUGACGAGCUUCAGGGAUUGGUCUAUUUCAAUAACCAUUGAGCCGGCCGCUCAUUUGAGAGGCGACUAUUGUAUCGACCG
rnacentral:sRNA from 1 species